CUUCGGAGUGCCGGCGAGUGGCAAACGGGUGAGUAAUACAUCGGAACAUGCCCAGUAGUGGGGGAUAGCUCGGCGAAAGCCGAAUUAAUACCGCAUACGACCUUCGGGUGAAAGGGGGGGAUCUUCGGACCUCUCGCUACUGGAGUGGCCGAUGCCUGAUUAGUUUGUUGGUGGGGUAACGGCCUACCAAGACUGCGAUCAGUAGCUGGUCUGAGAGGACGAUCAGCCACACUGGGACUGAGACACGGCCCAGACUCCUACGGGAGGCAGCAGUGGGGAAUCUUGGACAAUGGGCGAAAGCCUGAUCCAGCAAUGCUGCGUGUGCGAUGAAGGCUUUCGGGUUGUAAAGCACUUUUGUCAGGGAAGAAAUGGUUCGGGCCAAUACCUCGAACUUCUGACGGUACCUGAAGAAUAAGCACCGGCUAACUACGUGCCAGCAGCCGCGGUAAUACGUAGGGUGCAAGCGUUAAUCGGAAUUACUGGGCGUAAAGCGUGCGCAGGCGGUUUACUAAGACAGGUGUGAAAUCCCCGGGCUCAACCUGGGAACUGCAUCUGUGACUAGUAGACUAGAGUUUGGCAGAGGGGGGUGGAAUUCCUGGU
rnacentral:rRNA from 1 species